rnacentral:rRNA from 1 species
ACACAUGCAGUCGACGACCCUUCGGGGUUAGUGGCGCACGGGUGCGUAACGCGUGGGAACCUGCCUUUUGGUUCGGAAUAACAGUGAGAAAUUACUGCUAAUACCGGAUAAUGUCUUCGGACCAAAGAUUUAUCGCCAUUAGAUGGGCCCGCGUAAGAUUAGCUAGUUGGUGGGGUAAAGGCCUACCAAGGCGACGAUCUUUAGCUGGUCUGAGAGGAUGAUCAGCCACACUGGGACUGAGACACGGCCCAGACUCCUACGGGAGGCAGCAGUGGGGAAUAUUGGACAAUGGGCGAAAGCCUGAUCCAGCAAUGCCGCGUGAGUGAUGAAGGCCUUAGGGUUGUAAAGCUCUUUUACCCGAGAUGAUAAUGACAGUAUCGGGAGAAUAAGCUCCGGCUAACUCCGUGCCAGCAGCCGCGGUAAUACGGAGGGAGCUAGCGUUGUUCGGAAUUACUGGGCGUAAAGCGCACGUAGGCGGCUUUUUAAGUCAGGGGUGAAAUCCCGGGGCUCAACCCCGGAACUGCCCUUGAAACUGGGAAGCUAGAAUCUUGGAGAGGCGAGUGGAAUUCCGAGUGUAGAGGUGAAAUUCGUAGAUAUUCGGAAGAACACCAGUGGCGAAAGCGACUCGCUGGACAAGUAUUGACGCUGAGUGCGAAAGCGUGGGGAGCAAACAGGAUUAGAUACCC